GGGCCUGUAGCUCAGGGGGAGAGCGCUUGACUCGCAUUCAAGAGGCCGGGGGUUCGAAUCCCCCCAGGUCCA
rnacentral:tRNA from 1 species